rnacentral:rRNA from 1 species
UACGAAGGGGGCUAGCGUUGUUCGGAAUCACUGGGCGUAAAGCGCACGUAGGCGGAUCUUUAAGUCAGAGGUGAAAGCCUGGAGCUCAACUCCAGAACUGCCUUUGAUACUGGGGAUCUCGAGUCCGGGAGAGGUGAGUUGAACUGCGAGUGUAGAGGUGAAAUUCGUAGAUAUUCGCAAGAACACCAGUGGCGAAGGCGGCUCACUGGCCCGGAACUGACGCUGAGGUGCGAAAGCGUGGGGAGCAAACAGG